rnacentral:lncRNA from 1 species
UUAGGGAUAAAUUAGUUAGUGAGGCAUAAAAGAAAUAAUAGUGUAGAGACCCGCGCGAUGCAGUGGGUAGAUAAUAUAAACAAAAAUUAAAAAUUUUAAUAAAACUUAUAUUUAAAGCUUAUUGAUAUAUAGAAAGCUAUACCGUAAAUUCAACUGUUAAAACAAUAAAAUUAUAGUUAGAACCCACUCAUUGAUAGAAUAUUAAUAUGCUUCAUAUAAUUAAAUGUUGCAUCUAAUUAGAGGGGUGGGGAGGUGAAGGGUUGAACGUUGAGAAUGAAAGAUAACAUGCCUCGUGGUAAAAAAUAUUGUGGCUUCAUAUAGGUUUAUAGAUAUAGAUAACUAUG